rnacentral:rRNA from 1 species
GUGGGGAAUAUUGCACAAUGGGCGAAAGCCUGAUGCAGCAACGCCGCGUGAGUGAUGAAGGCCUUCGGGUUGUAAAGCUCUGUCUUUUGGGACGAUAAUGACGGUACCAAAGGAGGAAGCCACGGCUAACUACGUGCCAGCAGCCGCGGUAAUACGUAGGUGGCAAGCGUUGUCCGGAUUUACUGGGCGUAAAGGGUGCGUAGGUGGAUGUUUAAGUCAGAUGUGAAACCCCUGGGCUCAACCCAGGACCUGCAUUUGAAACUGGACAUCUAGAGUGCGGGAGAGGUAAGUGGAAUUCCUAGUGUAGCGGUGAAAUGCGUAGAGAUUAGGAAGAACACCAGUGGCGAAGGCGACUUACUGGACCGUAACUGACACUGAGGCACGAAAGCGUGGGUAGCAAACAGGAUUAGAUACCCUAGUAGUCC